rnacentral:rRNA from 1 species
AGUCGAACGAAGCACUUUAUUUGAUUUCCUUCGGGACUGAUUAUUUUGUGACUGAGUGGCGGACGGGUGAGUAACGCGUGGGUAACCUGCCUUGUACAGGGGGAUAACAGUUGGAAACGGCUGCUAAUACCGCAUAAGCGCACAGCAUCGCAUGAUGCAGUGUGAAAAACUCCGGUGGUAUAAGAUGGACCUGCGUUGGAUUAGCUAGUUGGUGAGGUAACGGCCCACCAAGGCGACGAUCCAUAGCCGACCUGAGAGGGUGACCGGCCACAUUGGGACUGAGACACGGCCCAAACUCCUACGGGAGGCAGCAGUGGGGAAUAUUGCACAAUGGGCGAAAGCCUGAUGCAGCGACGCCGCGUGAGCGAAGAAGUAUUUCGGUAUGUAAAGCUCUAUCAGCAGGGAAGAUAAUGACGGUACCUGACUAAGAAGCACCGGCUAAAUACGUGCCAGCAGCCGCGGUAAUACGUAUGGUGCAAGCGUUAUCCGGAUUUACUGGGUGUAAAGGGAGCGCAGGCGGUGCGGCAAGUCUGAUGUGAAAGCCCGGGGCUCAACCCCGGUACUGCAUUGGAAACUGUCGUACUAGAGUGUCGGAGGGGUAAGCGGAAUUCCUAGUGUAGCGGUGAAAUGCGUAGAUAUUAGGAGGAACACCAGUGGCGAAGGCGGCUUACUGGACGAUAA